ensembl:lncRNA
CUUUGGUAUCGAGGACUGGAUAUGAUAUAUGAGCUUAUUUGUUUUUCCCCCUCUUGGUCAGAAUUUGGAGCGGACACAGAGCCACCUCAGAGAAGCCUUACUAAGCUGUGUAAAGACGCCUUAGGAGACUACAGUAUAUGUAAUAAAUAAUUCAUGGCUCCUGAGGCACAGAACAGCGCUGGAACAUUCUAGGAAAGAUAAGUGAUUCUGAUGACUGCUGAUACUUGCCAUGUAACGCCACGCGUAACAGAAAAUUGCACAAAGACAGCAUCUCUUCCACAGUGAUGUACAGCCUGCAGCCACAGUACAGCUCAGCACCCUCACACACACACACACACUUACACUAACACACUCUUUGUCAGCAUUUAGGCUUGGAUUAAGCUAUGAGAGAAUGACUGAACUGCUCUUGUCUCAGCUCAAAGUCAUCAGCUGUCCACGGGCCUACAUCAGUUGAUUCCCUUUGAAAGUGAAGAUUAAAG